UUGUUCAAUUACAACUCUUUCCUUGGAUAAUUUUAAUUUGCGACAAGUAUUACUUCAAACAAGUUUAUUCAUUUCGACAUAAGCGGCGGGUCCAUUAUUUCAUCACUACAACAUAAGAAAUAUAUCUCAAACGAUGGGACAUGACCCACAUAUGGUCUAGGUAUGGAAGUUUCACUACUUUUCUUCCUUCAUUUGUGAUUCCAUUGAAGACAAAUGCGGCUGCGGGGGUGGCACGCUUGAGCCCGUGGAAUCUAAGGACAACCGAUUUGCAAUUUCUUGCUUGAUCCGCAUGAGCUCUUGGUAGUACUCCUUGCACUCCUCAAGUUUAAGAUCCUCUUCAUUCAUGAAAAGAUACCUGGCAACAGUUCCAGAGCUCUCUUCCUUGGCCUUCUCAAAGUGUUGGUUGUGUUGGGGAUCGUAGCAGAAAUUAAAUUUUUCUACGCAUCACCAAGAUCAAUCUAUGGAGUUUACUAGCAACGAGAGGGGAGGAGUGCAUCUACAUACCCUUGUAGAUCGCGAGUGGAAGCGUUCAAGAGAACGGGGUUGAUGGAGUCGUACUCGUCGUGAUCCAAAUCACCGAUGAUCCAAGCGUCGAACGGACGGCACCUCCGCGUUCAACACAUGUACGGAGCGGCGAUGUCUCCCACGCCUUGAUCCAGCAAGGAGGAGGGAGAGGUUGAGGAAGAAGGCUCCAACAGCAGCACGACGGCGUGGUGGUGGUGGAGUGACAGUUCUCCGGCAGGGCUUCGCCAAGCACACGCGGAGGAGGAGAGGUGUUGGGGAGGGGAGGGGCUGCGCCUUGGAUGUGGUGCUGCAGCCCUCCCCUCACCCCUCUAUUUAUAGGGAGAAGGGGGAAGGGGGCCGGCCCCUCUAGAUGNNNNNNNNNNNNNNNNNNNNNNNNNNNNNNNNNNNNNNNNNNNNNNNNNNNNNNNNNNNNNNNNNNNNNNNNNNNNNNNNNNNNNNNNNNNNNNNNNNNNNNNNNNNNNNNNNNNNNNNNNNNNNNNNNNNNNNNNNNNNNNNNNNNNNNNNNNNNNNNNNNNNNNNNNNNNNNNNNNNNNNNNNNNNNNNNNNNNNNNNNNNNNNNNNNNNNNNNNNNNNNNNNNNNNNNNNNNNNNNNNNNNNNGGGGAGGGGAGGGGCUGCGCCUUGGAUGUGGUGCUGCAGCCCUCCCCUCACCCCUCUAUUUAUAGGGAGAAGGGGAAAGGGGGUCGGCCCCUCUAGAUGAGAUCUAGAGGGGGGGGGGGGGCGGCGGCCAAGGGGGGAGGGAGCUUGCCCCCCAAGCAAGGGGGGCGCCCCCCCUUAAGGGUUCCCCCCCAAACCCUAGGCGCAUGGGCCCUAGGGGGGUUGGCGCCCAGCCCACUAAGGGCUGGUUCCCUUCCACCUACAGCCCAUAAGGCCCUCCGGGGCAGGUGGACCCUCCCGGUGGACCCCCGGAACCUCUCCGGUGGUCCCGGUACAAUACCGGUAUACCCCCGAAUAUUUCCGGUGACCGUAUGGUGACUUCCCAUAUAUAAAUCUGUACCUCCGGACCAUUCCGGAACUCCUCGUGACGUCCGGGAUCUCAUCCGGGACUCCGAACAACAUUCGGUAAUCACAUACAAACCUUCCUUAUAACCCUAGCAUCAUCGAACCUAAAGUGUGUAGACCCUACGGGUUUGGGAAUCAUGCAGACAUGACCGAGACACCUCUCUAGCCAAUAACCAGCAGCGGGAUCGAGAUACCCAUGUUGGCUCCCACAUGUUCCACGAUGAUCUCAUCGGAUGAACCACGAUGUCGAGGAUUCAAGCAAUCCCGUAUACAAUUCCCUUUGUCAAUCGGUACUUUACUUGCCCGAGAUUCGAUCGUCGGUAUCCCAAUACCUCGUUCAAUCUCGUUACCGGCAAGUCACUUUACUUGUUCCGUAAUGCAUGAUCCUGUGACUAACUACUUAGUCACAUUGAGCUCAUUAUGAUGAUGCAAUACCGAGUGGGCCCAGAGAUACCUCUCCGUCAUACGGAGUGACAAAUCCCAGUCUCAAUCCGAGCCAACCGAACAGACAAUUUCGGAGAUACCUGUAGUGCACCUUUAUAGCCACCCAGUUACGUUGUGACGUUUGGUACACCCAAAGCAUUCCUACGGUAUCCGGGAGUUGCACGAUCUCAUGGUCUAAGGAAAUGAUACUUGAUAUUAGAAAAGCUUUAGCAAACGAACUACACGAUCUAGUGCUAUGCUUAGGAUUGGGUCUUGUCCAUCACAUCAUUCUCUUAAUGAUGUGAUCCCGUUAUCAAUGACAUCCAAUGUCCAUGGUCAGGAAACUGUAACCAUCUAUUGAUCAACGAGCUAGUCAACUAGAGACUCACUAGGGACAUGUUAUGGUCUAUGUAUUCACAUAUGUAUUAUGAUUUCCGGAUAACACAAUUAAAGCAUGAACAAUAGACAAUUAUCAUGACCAAGGAAAUAUAAUAAUAACCAUUUUAUUAUUGCCUCUAGGGCAUAUUUCCAAUAGUCUCCCACUUGGACUAGAGUCAAUAAUCUAGUUACAUUGUGAUGAAUCGUACACCCAUAGAGUUCUGGUGUUGAUCAUGUUUCGCUUGUGGAAGAGGUUUAGUCAACGGAUCUGCGACAUUCAAAUCCGUAUGCACUUUACAAAUAUCUAUGUCUCCAUUUUGAACAUUUUCACGAAUGGAGUUGAAGUGACGCUUGAUGUGCCUGGUCUUCUUGUGAAACCUGGGCUCCUUGGCAAGGGCAAUAGCUCCAGUGUUGUCACAGAAGAGAGUCAUCGGCCCCGAUGCAUUGGGAAUAACUCCUAGGUCGGCAAUGAACUCCUUCAUCCAGAUUGCUUCAUGUGCUGCCUCCGAGGCUGCCAUGUACUCCGCUUCACAUGUAGAUCCUGCCACGACGCUUUGCUAGCAACUGCACCAGCUGACUGCCCCACCAUUCAAAAUAUACACGUAUCCGGUUUGUGACUUAGAGUCAUCCAGAUCUGUGUCGAAGUUAGCAUCGACGUAACCCUUUACGAUGAGCUCUUCAUCACCUCCAUAAACGAGAAACAUAUCCUUAGUCCUUUUCAGGUACUUCAGGAUGUUCUUGACCGCUGUCCAGUGUUCCAUGCCGGGAUUACUUUGGUACCUUCCUACCAAACUUACGGCAAGGUUUACAUCAGGUCUGGUACACAGCAUGGCAUACAUAAUAGACCCUAUGGCCGAGGCAUAGGGGACGACACUCAUCUUUUCUCUAUCUUGUGCCGUGGUCGGGCAUUGAGCCGUGCUCAAUCUCACACCUUGCAAUACAGGCAAGAACCCCUUCUUGGACUGAUCCAUAUUGAACUUCUUCAAUAUCUUAUCAGGUAUGUGCUUUGUGAAAGACCUAUGAGGCGUCUCGAUCUAUCUCUAUAGAUCUUGAUGCCUAAUAUGUAAGCAACUUCUCCAAGGUCCUUCAUUGAAAAACACUUAUUCAAGUAGGCCUUUAUACUUUCCAAGAAUUCUAUAUCAUUUCCCAUCAAUAGUAUGUCAUCCACAUAUAAUAAGAGAAAUGCUACAGAGCUCCCACUCACUUUCUUGUAAACACAGGCUUCUCCAUAAGUCUGCGUAAACCCAAACGCUUUGAUCAUCUCAUCAAAGCGAAUGUUCCAACUCCGAGAUGCCUGCACCAGCCCAUAGAUUGAGCGCUGGAGCUUGCAUACUUUGUCAACAUUCUUAGGAUCGACAAAACCUUCCGGCUGCAUCAUAUACAAAUCUUCCUUAAGGAAGCCAUUAAGGAAUGCCGUUUUGACGUCCAUUUACCAUAUUUCAUAAUCGUAGAAUGCGGCAAUUGCUAACAUGAUUCGGACGGACUUCAGCUUCGCUACGGGUGAGAAGGUCUCAUCGUAGUCAACUCCUUGAACUUGUCGAUAACCCUUAGCAACAAGUCGAGCUUUAUAGAUGGUAACAUUUCCAUCCGCGUCCGUCUUCUUAUUAAAGAUCCAUUUAUUUUCUAUCGCUCGCCGAUCAUCGGGCAAAUCUGUGAAAGUCCAUACUUUGUUUUCAUACAUGCAUCCUAUCUCGGAUUGCAUGGCUUCAAGCCAUUUGUUGGAAUCUGGACCCGCCAUUGCUUCUUCAUAGUUCGAAGGUUCACCGUUGUCCAACAACAUGAUUUCCACGACAAGGUUGCCGUACCACUCUGGUGCGGAACGUGUCCUUGUGGACCUACGAAGUUCAGUGGUAAAUUGAUCAUGAUCGUCAUCAUUAACUUCCUCUCUAGUCGGUGCAGGCACCACAGAAACAUUUUCUUGUGCUGGGCUACUUUCUGGUUCGAGAGGGGUCAUCUCAUCAAGUUCCACUUUCCUCCCACUUACUUCUUUCGAGAGAAACUCUUUCUCCAGAAAGGACCCGUUCUUAGCAACGAAGAUCUUGCCUUCGGAUCUGAGGUAGAAGGUAUACCCAAUGGUUUCCUUAGGGUAUCCUAUGAAGAUGCAUUUUUCUGACUUGGGUUCGAGCUUUUUAGGUUGAAGUUCCUCGACAUAAGCAUCGCAUCCCCAAACUUUAAGAAACGACAGCUUAGGUUUCUUUCCAAACCAUAAUUCAUACGGUGUCAUCUCAACGGAUUUCGACGGAGCCCUAUUUAAAGUGAAUGUGGCAGUCUCUAAAGCAUAACCCCAGAAUGAUAGCGGUAGAUCGGUAAGAGACAUCAUAGAUCACACCAUAUCCAAUAGAGUGCGAUUACGACGUUCGGACACACCAUUACGCUGAGGUGUUCCAGGCGGCGUGAGUUGUGAAACAAUUCCACAUUUCCUUAAGUGUGUGCCAAAUUCGUGACUCAAAUAUUCCCCACCACGAUCUGAUCGUAAGAACUUUAUAUUCCUUUCACGUUGAUUCUCAACCUUACUCUGAAAUUCCUUGAACAUUUCAAAGGUCUCAGACUUGUGUUUCAUUAAGUAGACAUACCCAUAUCUACUCAAGUCAUCAGUGAGGGUGAGAACAUAACGAUAGCCACCGCGAGCCUCAACGCUCAUUGGACCGCACACAUCAGUAUGUAUGAUUUCCAAUAAGUUGGUUGCUCGCUCCACUGUUCCAGAGAACGGAGUCUUGGUCAUUUUUCCCAUGAGGCAUGGUUCGCACGUGUCAAAUGAUUCAUAAUCAAGACACUCCAAAAGUCCAUCUGCAUGGAGUUUCUUCAUGUGUUUGACACCAAUGUGACCAAGGCGGCAGUGCCACAAGUAUGUGGGACUAUCAUUAUCAACCUUACAUUUCUUGGCAUUCACACUAUGAAUAUGUGUAACAUCACGUUCGAGAUUCAUUAAGAAUAAACCAUUGACCAGCGGGGCAUGACCAUAAAACAUAUCUCUCAUAUAAAUAGAACAACCAUUAUUCUCGGAUUUAAAUGAGUAGCCAUCUCGCAAUUAACGAGAUCCAGAUACAAUGUUCAUGCUCAAAGCUGGCACUAAAUAACAAUUAUUGAGGUUUAAAACUAGUCCCAUAGGUAAAUGUAGAGGUAGCGUGCCGACGGCGAUCACAUCUACCUUGGAACCAUUCCCGACGCGCAUCGUCACCUCGUCCUUCACCAGACUCCACUUAUUCCGCAGCUCCUGCUUUGAGUUACAAAUAUGAGCAACCGCACCGGUAUCAAAUACCCAGGAGCUACUACGAGCGCUGGUUAGGUACACAUCUAUAACAUGUAUAUCACAUAUACCUUUGGUAUUGCCGGCCUUCUUAUCCGCUAAGUACUUGGGGCAGUUCCGCUUCCAGUGACUGUUUCCCUUGCAAUAAAAGCACUCAGUCUCAGGCUUGGGUGCAUUCUUUGUCUUCUUCCCGGCAGCUUGCUUACCUGGCGCGGCAACUCCCUUGCCGUCUUUCUUGAAGUUCUUCUUACCCUUGCCUUUCUUGAACUUAGUGGUUUUAUUCACCAUCAACACUUGAUGUUCCUUUUUGAUCUCCACCUCCGCUGAUUUCAGCAUUGAAUAUACCUCAGGAAUGGUCUUUUCCAUCCCCUGCAUAUUGAAGUUCAUCACAAAGCUCUUGUAGCUAGGUGGGAGCGACUGAAGGAUUCUGUCAACGACCGCGUCAUCCGGGAGAUUAACUCCCAGCUGAGACAAGCGGUUGUGCAGCCCAGACAUUUUGAGUAUGUGUUUGCUAACGGAACUAUUCUCCGCCAUCUUACAACUGUAGAACUUGUUGGAGACUUCAUAUCUCACGACCCAGGCAUGAGCUUGGAAAACCAUUUUCAGGUCUUGGAACAUCUCAUAUGCUCCGUGCUGCUCAAAACGCUUUUGGAGCCCCGGUUCUAAGUUGUAAAGCAUGCCGCACUGAACCAGGGAGUAAUCAUCACUACGUGACUGCCAGGCGUUCAGAACGUCUUGACUUGCUGGGAAAACAGGUGCAUCACCUAGCGGUGCUUCAAGGACAUAUGCUUUCUUGGCAGCUAUGAGGAUAAUCCUCAGGUUAUGGACCCAGUCCGUGUAGUUUCUACCAUCGUCUUUCAGCUUGGGUUUCUCUAGGAACGCGUUAAAGUUGAGGGCAACAUUAGCGUGGGCCAUUUGAUCUACAAGACAUAUUGUAAAGGUUUUUUAGACUAAGUUCAUGAUAAUUAAGUUCAUCUAAUCAAAUUAUUAACGAACUCCCACUCAGACAGACAUCCCUCUAGUCAUCUAAGUGAUACAUGAUCCGAGUCAACUAGGCCGUGUCUGAUCAUCACGUGAGAUGGACUAGUCAUCAUCGGUGAACAUCUUCAUGUUGAUCAUAUCUGCUAUAUGACACAUGUUCGACCUUUCGGUCUCUUCUGUUCCGAGGCCAUGUCUGUACAUGCUAGGCUCGUCAAGUCAACCUAAGUGUAUUGCGUGUGUAAAUCUGGCUUACACCCGUUGUAUGCGAACAUUAGAACCUAUCACACCCGGUCAUCACGUGGUGCUUCGGAACAACGAACCUUCGCAACGGUGCACAGUUAGGGGGAACACUUUCUUGAAAUUUUAGUGAGGGAUCAUCUUAUUUAUGCUACCGUCGUUCUAAGCAAAUAAGAUAUAAAACAUGAUAAACAUCACAUGCAAUCAAAUAGUGACAUGAUAUGGCCAAUAUCAUUUUGCUCCUUUUGAUCUCCAUCUUCGGGGCGCCAUGUUCAUCAUCGUCACCGGUAUGACACCAUGAUCUCCAUCAUCAUGAUCUCCAUCAUCGUGUCCUCAUGAAGUUGUCUCGCCAACUAUUACUUCUACUACUAUGGCUAACAGUUAGCAAUAAAGUAAAGUAAUUACAUGACGUUCCAGUUGACACGCAGGUCAUAAAUAAAUUAAGACAACUCCUAUGGCUCCUGCCGGUUGUCAUACUCAUCGACAUGCAAGUCGUGAUUCCUAUUACAAGAACAUGAUCAAUCUCAUACAUCACAUAUAUCAUUCAUCGCAUCCUUCUGGCCAUAUCACAUCACAUGACACUUGCUGCAAAAACAAGUUAGAUGUCCUCUAAUUGUUGUUGCAAACUUUUACGUGGCUGCUAUAGGUUUCUAGCAAGAACGAUUCUUACCUACGCCAAAACCACAAUGUGAUAUGCCAAUUUCUAUUUACCCUUCAUAAGGACCCUUUUCAUCGAAUCCGAUCCGACUAAAGUGGGAGAGACAGACACCCGCUAGCCACCUUAUGCAACUAGUGCAUGUCAGUCGGUGGAACCUGUCUCACGUAAGCGUACGUGUAAGGUCGGUCCGGGCCGCUUCAUCCCACGAUGCCGCCGAAUCAAGAUAAGACUAGUAACGGCAAGUAAAUUGACAAAAUUGACGCCCACAACAACUUGUGUUCUACUCGAGCAUAGAAACUACGCAUAGACCUAGCUCAUGAUGCCACUGUUGGGGAUCGUAGCAAAAAUUAAAAUUUUCUACGCAUCACCAAGAUCAAUCUAUGGAGUUUACUAGCAAUGAGAGGGGGAGGAGUGCAUCUACAUACCCUUGUAGAUCGCGAGCAGAAGCGUUCAAGAGAACGGGGUUGAUGGAGUCGUACUCGUUGUGAUCCAAAUCACCGAUGAUCGCCACACCGCCGCGUACGCGCGGGCUGCCUCAUUGGCGGUGUCGAAGUUGCCGAGGCCGAGGCGCAUCCCGCGGAACCGGAUCUCGGCGGAGAAGCCGCCGGAGGGGCGCGCGCGGACGCCGCGGUAUCCCCAAGUUUCCCGGCGACGCGGCGGCAUGGUGGCGCGGCGGCGGCGAGGCGGAAAAGAGCGGGGAGAGAGCGGUGGCGAGGCACAGAGCGGGGAGAGAGCGGUGGCAAGGCACAGAGCGGUGGGAGGGCGUUGGAUUUUAUAAAGCGCGUCGGACGCCGCGCGCCAAAACUAGCGCACACCCGGCCGCUUUUUCCCGCGCGCGCGAUCCUUUCCCGACGUCUCUGCUAUCUGUACUCUCUUCUCUACUGUUAUAUUUAUUUAAUAUUUAAUAUUUAAUAUUUAUCUCUACUUCCUUUACUGUCUACUUUUUUUCUCUAUACUUUUUUUCUUGCAAUAUAGGUCGUCCGAUUUAUAUCUGACAGAUAGGAAGGAAACAAAUGGGAAUUUUGCAAAAAGAUACCCAUACCCCUCUCCAGAUUUGCAAAUAAGGCCUUCCCUCGUUCAUCCUUUUCUCCCACAAGAUAAACUACUCAUACAAAUGCAUCUUGAUGCGUGCAACGCAUGGGCAUCUUGCUAGCUCUAAAAACCUUUCCAUCAUUUGCCACACUACUGGUUGCAGAUGAAAAACCUACCCAAGCACAGCGCGAUACAGGAGCGACGCACAAUUACAAGCUGAUAUUUUGUUGGACAAUGGAGGCUGUAACCAAUUACUUUUACGGGAACAAUAGCACCCAGGAAUUUUGAAGGGUAGGUAUGAACAAAAUUGGAACUACACAUGUACUGCUAAGUGAUUCAAUACACACAUUACCAAUCGAGGAGGAGAACAAUGGUCGCGGCGGCCUCUGUGAGUCAUGGUCGGCAACGGGAGUCAGUUCAUUGUCCACGACGGUGGUACUUCUGCGCUUGGCGUCGGCUUCCGGGAAGCAGAUCCGAGACCAUGGAAGACGAUGCCGGGGAAGAGGCUCCGUGUACGACGACGACGGUGGACCGGCUCCAGUGCGGCAUACGAGGUCAUCGAUGAGGCAGAUGCGUUGUGGUGGACUAGUGCGCCGAUGUAAAGGGGAGGAGCACGAAGGCUGCGGUGCUGUAGAGAAGUCUAUUUUGCGGUGGGGAUAGAAAAUGGGGAGUAUUCAGGUGUACUACUCUGGGUGCCAGGGUGGGGUUGGCUGGGUAGGGUGAACCUGAAGUUACGAAAACAGCCCCUACCAAGCAUCAUCCGUAGGCCUGUUCCGAAGGCUAUGAUGGUAACUUCCCACUGCUCGAAUCAGGGUCGCGGGAGAUUUUAUCGCCGACCUUAAAAUUUUGUGACACUGGACUCCCCGUCUGGCGUGUUGAGUGAUUCGGCUAAGCAACUAGCGAGUAGUAGUAGUAAACUCUGCAUAUUAGGUUUGACCGAAGUCAAACUUCCUAAAGUUUGCCCAAGUUUAUAGAAAAAUAUAAACAUUUACCAUAACAAAUAUGUAUGAUGUGAAAGUACAUUCAAUAAUGAAUCUAAUGGUAUUUAUUUGUUAUUGUAUAUGUUAAUAUUUUUUGUCAUAAGCUUUCUGAGAGUUUACAAAACUUGACUUUGACCAAUGCUAAUACGCGGACUUAAAUAAAAACGGAGGGAGUACACAUUUGUUUUCUUAGUUUGUAGUGAACUAAUCAUUUGUUGAAAUUGUGAAAUAAAUAUAUUAGGCUAUUGACUUCGAAUGUAAUGGUCUAUACAAUUCAAUAGUUACAAUCAUUGUCGAAUCCCAAGAUGUAUACAAGGUCUAUAGUACUUCACAACAUGCUCAAACUCACAUAAUCCCAGUCAAAUGAGAAUCUAAAUGCAUUUCAUAGUUAUUAAUUUGUAGGAUGCAACAAAAACAACCAUAACUCUACAUCAGCCAUUAUAGAAGCAACAUUUUGACAUAUCCCAAUGUGUGAAUGAAACGUGCAGAGAGAGCUUUUGAAGAUGGAGCAGAUAGGGCGGGAAAGAUUGUAUGUAUGUGGACGAGAGAGUAGGAGACAAACCUAACGAGACAGAGAGAGAGAUAGAUAGAGAAAGAGAGAGGAAGAAGUUAGGUCUGUGAGAAAGAUGGAUACAUGUAAUAUACAUGAGAUGCGUGUGCAUCUGGAUUCUGUAUACAUGGAAGGAGAAGAUACAACAUGUUUGAUGAGAGAGCUGGAAAAACAUGGACGAGAGGGGAAGGAUCUCGUCGGUUGAGGGCUUGACAAUUUUGUGCGGGGAGAGAGGGAUUGGUAAUUUUGUGCAAGAGAGAGAGAGAGGGUGGGGGGAGGAGUCAGUCAGCCGUCGUCACAUCACCCUGCUUCCAAAUGACCCCGCAUUCUCUAGCGCGGUGUGGUCACCGUCUUCGAUCUGCUCGAUGCCCUCUUUGAAGAUUGAGGUGUUGUGCAUGUUGGGGUGCAAAGAAGCACAAGCGAGAGUGGUCGCCGUAUAACCUUGUAUGGGGAUGAAUUGUGUGCUCGGGAGAGUGUGUGUGUGUGUGUUGUGCUGCGUGUCUCUCUGUGUGUGUGUGUGUGUGUGUGUGUCAGAUAUUGAGAGAAAACAAACCUAAGGAGAGAAAUGGGUAUUCACGAAGAGAUUGUGCGGGCCUUGAGGUGGGCAGGGGCCGGGUGAGGGUGUCAAAAUGUGCGUGUUGAUGCAUGUGUUGCAUGCGACCGUGCGAGGGGCGGACGAAUCGAGAGAGAUGGUUGUUGUGUUACGGAUGCUCCUCUCUCUGUCUCUCUCUCCAUCUCUCUCUCUCUCACACACACACAAGUAAACUAGAAGACCGUUCCCUCAUGUAUACACAACGUAUCGACAUCUGUCUAUGUCUCACUCAUGCAUGAUCAUUUGCACAUUCACACCUCUCUAUGUCUGUAUCACAUGCACACCGUCUCCACAUUGCCCUUCCGCCACAACACACAUAUGGACACAUACACACGUUCUCUCUCAGUCACACACACAAAAUCAGUAUUAAAAAAAACUAGGGCGCACCUAAAACGUCCAAAUCCAAAUAAACACGAACUGGAGCUAAAUUCAAAUAUAUGGAAAUAUUGCAGCGUCAAGAACUUUCACAGGAAAAAAAGUUGAGUAAUAUUCGAGGACUGUUUUCACACACACAAAAAGGUUCGGUGGAUGUCCUUCGAGCCCGACACGGUGACGCACCGUUCGAUCGACCGUGCGGCCGCGGUUCACGCGCUUGCACAGGAUUCCGUAUCGUGGCUGUGGUACUAACUAAUAAAAGCGCUGCCUAAGUCUAAUGUUUACGUGUACUAGUACGGUUUUCUUUUAAGUUUGACCAACCUUAUAUAUAAAACUAAAGUAAGCCCCCACACGCGCACUCAUCAAUAUGCCACCGCCGCCGUUGCGCAUGUCGGCGCCCGCCUGCUCCGGCCAACAAUUUCUCGCCCAUCACCGCCGUGCCGCCGCCAUCCCUAUGCCAUGAAGCCGAAGGCUCGCCCGCUCACGCCGUCUGCAGUCCCUUCUCGCGAUGCCGCAGCGCUGCCAAGCACGCGAGCAGCUGGUGGAGCCGCGUCUAUGCACGCAGCGUACAAAGAGGAGGACGAGCGCGUGCUCCAGCACGCCGGCGAGGAGGAACUAGCGUGUCAUUGUCGUCUCCGCCCACGCGGAGGAGGCGCGCAUGGUGGCUGUCGCGGCGGAAGCCGGUCGCGCGCGCGUCGAGCCCGCAAACCGGGUGCGGACGCGGAAUCUACCUUCAAGACCUUGAAUGCCACGUGGAUCCUGCAAUCUGAAGGAGCAAUUUGGGUCAGUCGACUCAUGUGAGCCGUUUGAUGCAACAUGGAUGGCUAGAAGGGCUUCUUCCACCUCUUCUGUCGUCUUCUUCCUUUGCUCCGUCGAACUUCUUUCACAAAUCGACUGACCCAAAUUAUGCUACUAGUACGAACGUAUUAAAUAUAGUAGGAACACGAAGAUACAAGCAGUAGUACCAACUGCAAGAAGAACAGUAGUAAGACAUAGUACUAGUACUACUGUACGUACUAAAGAGUUCAAAUAACGAGAAAGAACAUAAACAUAGUUCUGCUGGGGCCUCAGCACAACACACCCUUGAAAAUAAACUAAGCAACUAGUCCGCUUGACACUUCAGUAGAGCCAUCAUGAGCGACAGCACUGCCACCUACUCGGAGUCCGAGUCCACGUCCUCGACUUCGUCCUCGUCCCUCUUCCUCUUCCUCUUCGCCGACGCUUCUUUGCUUGAACCGGUCACUGGGCUCUGCUUCUUCAUCCAACCCUUGUAGAUAUUUAAACAAAGGUAGGCAUCCAUUGCUGCGUACAGGAUGUGAUCUUCAUCUAAUGUCUUCGACUCCCAUGCAUGAUGAAACUCGUGAUGAGGUUUCUUCAGUUUAGCGUACGAAGGAUUAGUCAUGGCUGCUGCCAGGGUCAGCAUUGAAGGUUGAGAGGAGGACACCAGGCUUGCCUUCUGGAGAUCGAAGGGCUGGCCUACAACGAGACCUAUCCGACGCAGGACAUCCCUGUCGUUCUUAAAGCCUACUGUAACGAAUUUCACUCUUUUGUCCUUGAGGAAGUUCUUAAAAUCCUGGCACUCAACGUCGGCAUGGCAUAUGUGGUAGACCAAGCAAACGUUAUGUACGCAAACCUGGAUCACGGCGGGCUUCUUCCUCUCUUCUUCCUUUAGAUCCUUCUCUUGUCCCAGGACUGUGGCGUACUCAACAUCUAGCCCAGCGACCCACUCAUCCGUUGAACUGUUGAACAUGCGUAGGAAGCGAGCAAGCCAUGCUUUCACCGUCUCGGAUCCACGUGUGUAGAUGACGAUGAACUAAUCGCCGGUGAUGGCUCUAACUUGGUACUCAGCGGCGACCAUGGAGAUUUAGGAGGCCAUGGAUUUUGGAGGAGGGUUAGGAGAAGUUGAACUGUUGUACCCCGCAAAAAAAACCUGGGAGCGAACUAAUGUGAAAGGACAGGACGACUGGGAGCGAACCAUUGUAAGGUAGAAGACGGGGACAAGUAGGGCGUGCGAACGGCGUGGGGUUGCUGGCUUGCCCGGGGGAUAAACGGCUGCAAGCCCCCAAAGAGUUCUCGAGAACUAUGCGGGACCCACUAGAUGUCAUGUCUACUAGACCCAUAUCGUAGGCCUGACGGUAUAGCUUCUGCCUGUUCGCACGCCAUGCCGGCGCGUGGAUGUAUCUUCACUUAAUUCCGUCAAACGUCGCGCCUCCCACGACCUUUGCCUCCCUCGCGCGGUCGCGCCCUUUGAGACUUCGACCGGCUAUAAAUGAGCAAUUUUUUUGCCUUUUUUUAGACAAGAAUUUUUUUUGCCUACUCCGCAUGCAUGAUACUCCCUCUGGUCCUUUUUACUCCCGUCAACCGUUUGCAAAGUGUUUGACCAAAUUUAUACUUUUUUUAACACCACCUUAUAUUAAUUAACCAGCCACACCAGUACACUUACUCGAUACAAUAUUCACCACACAGGGCGGUAUGUUAUUUACAAGAAUACCAUCUAAUCUAUUGUGAAAGCUAUACUUAGCGAUUAAGUGUGCCACCUUAUUGGUCGAACGACUAAUCUUUGACAAUUGAAGAUUGUUGAUCAACUUCGAGAUGCUCAACGCUUUCAUCUUCAGGUCACGCAUAGCAGACCUGUCAUAGUCCCCCGAUGCAAGAGACGCUACCACAAAAGCGCAAUCAGUCUCCAAAAUUAAAGGAUUAUGAAGAGAAAUACCUGUGUAGAGACCGGCAAUGCAAGCCCUAAGCUCCGCUUCCUCCACGCUAUACCUAGCCCGGCAUGCCAGAUGACUUAUUAUGCACCGUUCCCCAUACCUGCAGGAAGCACGUUCGUCUCCAAAUCUUUUCCUCUCCAUGUGUGGAAACAAUAUGCCUGCCAAACUCUCCUUCUCCCUCCGGCGGUCCCACCACUCCACCCCGUGUGAAAAAAUCUGCAUGCAUGACUCUCCUCCCCCCACGCUCGUCCAAUCCGUUGUGACUAGCAAUAUUUCCACCCCUUCGCUCUCCCGUCAUUUACUCCAACAAAUAUGCCCACCUAGUUGUUACUUAACUGCAGGUGCAUUGGGUCACUGACAUAUGGGCCCAACAGGGGUCUGGCCCACAUGUCAGUGACGGAACUGGACCUGCAGUUAAGUCAGUGCAGCUCAGUCCAUACCGUACGUAGGUGUGCCAAUGCUCGCUAUAAAUACUAUGCCUCCCACGACAUCGCUAUCUCCUCCCGCUCACGUCCACGUUCAUCGCUAUCUCCUCCCCCUCCCUCUCACGUCGACCACCAUGGCAUCACCCCUCCCAAGCCCUAGGAGCCCCUCGCUGCACCGCGCGGAUGGUCACGCGUCUCCGUUCCGUUCCUCGCCGCCACUAGUCGAGGAGGACGCGUCGGUGUUCCGCUCCUCGCCGCUACGCGACGCGUCGCCGUUCCGUUCCUCGCCGCCACUAGUCGAGGAGGACGAGUCGGUGUUCCGCUCCUCGCCGCGACGCGACGCGUCGCCGUUCCGUUCCUCGCCGCCACUAGUCAAGGAGGACGCGUCGGCGUUCCGCUCCUCACCGCGACGCGUCGAGGUGGACGCGUCGGCGUUCCCAAUCUCGCCAGCACGCGCGCCGGAGGACGCGUCGGCUACCCGCUACGAGGAGAACGCCGCGCCGCCUGCGGAGCCCCCCAACCUUGAGGAGCUUUGGAAAGAAACGGAUGUCGCCUUGUUGGAGGCUUUGCCUCCAGCAGAGCGCGCCAAAAUAGAGGCGGAGAAGAAGGCCGAGGAAGAGAAGCGCACCACGGAACAAGCUGCCUAGGAGGCCUAUGUCGCGUCCAAGAGAGUCAGGCAAUUGGCUCUUUGGCAGAAGGCUCGUGCGAGGGCCGUGAGGGUGGCGGAGGACGCCCGUGCCGACGCCCUGAGUGCAGUCGGGCCCAAGCGCCUCAUCUACGCUUGGCGGUACGUGGACCGGGUGCACGCUUCCAGCGAGGAGGAGUACCUGUUGGCGCUGGAUCACCACACCGGUGAGAUCGCGCUCGCCCGCCGGCAAGCCGCCAAUCAGCGCCUCGCGAGUUGCGAGGCUGAGGAAGAGGCGUUGUGUCGGCGCGCUGGGAAACGGCCGUGCACCAGGGCACUCGUGGCGCGCCGCAAGCGCUCCUGUGAGCGCCGUGGCUUUUAGGAGGAGUAUAAUUUUUGUUUCGUAAGGCGGUCUCAUUAGUUUUGGGACGCAAAUGAUAAAUCCCAAACGUUCAGGAAUUUUUUGCGUCUGUAAUUAAGUAUGUAAAAGGAAAAGUUUGGAAACCUUGUGUAUUCGUACGCAUUUUGCAAGUACGUGCAUAUAGCACAAACUUUACUAUAUACUAUCGCACUACACGUCUCUCUCGAUAUAUGCUUGCAGACUGUGCUACUCCCUCCAUCCAGGUCAAUAAGUCAUCUUUGGUUGUGCACCGUGACCAAGAAUGAGGGAAGACAUAUACACCUAGACGGAGGGAGUACUACUAUUACUUAUGUACGUGCAAAUGCACGUUUUAACAUUACGAUGCGGUUUUUGUAAAAGUAGAAAAACAGCACUAGGCAAGCUUGUGAAAUGAUUCAAUGCAAAACAAAUGCAAAAAUGCUCGUUUGAUUGUUUACUUUUAGCUUCCUUCUCUGUGGUUAUUCUCUGUCGUACUUUGUACGGAGUAUCUCACUGGUUGGAAAGGCAUGCAAAUUCCCAAACCGCUUCCUACAACCUGUAUCGUAUAUUUUGCCUAACAAGUUGUGCCGUGCAAUUUGAAUUCCAACUUGAGUACUACCUUCUAGUAGGAGUACUAGGGCCAGUUCUUUUAGGCUUCUAGAUUAGUAAUCUCAUAACUACUACCUCCGUCCUGGUUUAUUGGUCCCCAUUGUAAUCUGUGUCAAAUUUUGAUCAUAAAUUUAACUAAUGAAAUGUUAGUGCAUGUCACAUGCACUAAUAUUUUAUCUGUUAAAUCUUUGGUCAAAAUUUAGCACAAAUUACAAUGGUGAGGAAUAAACCAGGACGGAGGUACUACUAGUAGUAGUUUAGAAGCCCAAAUAAAUGAGUGAGGCGCCUUAAUGUUACUCUCCACUGUGACUAGUCUUAUGGGAAAAGCUGGGGAAGCUGCCAAAAGAACUGGCCCUAGGAGUAGUAGCUAGGGAUACUAGGAGUAGUAGCUAGGGAUCAAGUGUGCGAGAUGAACGGGAGAAAGUAAAUGCAGAGAGAUGAAAUGCAAAAAAGACGAAGGGAUGUGAUGGUUGCUUGUCCGUUUAUUUUACCAUGCCACUUAUUACUGGGAGUGGUUGGGUUUUGUGAUAUGACGGCUUUACUGCCGCGCCACGAGCGGGGCGAGACUCCCGUGCAGCGCCGCCCUCUACACUAGUACUACAUCGGUCGUGGUUUAUCCCCCAUUGAAUUUGACUGAAGAUUUAACGGACAAAAUGUUAGUGCAUGUCAACAAAAACAAUAUCGUUGGAUUCGUAUUUGAACAUAGUUUUCAAUGAUAUAAUUUUAGGUGACAUGCAUCAUCAUUUAUCGUACUAUAUAUAAUGUUAGUUCAAUUUUUGGUCGUACUAAUCUAUAGUAAGGUGCCCGUGCGUUGCACGGAAGAGUGAAAUGCAUUGAUCGGGGAGUUUUUUAUUUUGACAAAGGAUGUGGGGGUCAUCUCAUGUGUAACGGGUAUCGAUAGGUUUGUUCGGAUAUUAUUUCAUCUCUAGAGCUCACAAACAUCCGGGUGAAAUAGAUAAAAAAGUAUCUUUUGCAAACAAAAGCGUUCAACUAUUCAACCUGCAUCCAUAACUUGUGAAGAAAUAACUCUUAUUGUGCUUUGCAAGAAAUGAUCUUCAAGAAUUAGUUUUUGAGUAUCCAUUGUUAUACAUGUUGGCUACAGAUGACAUGGCACUUUCUUAUAGUCAACAGUUUGCUAUACUAUUUAAGUAUUAACCAUGCCCUUAUACACCUAGACGGAGGGAUUAAAUCAGGAUGACUUGGAAGGGGGCAGAGGAUAUGUAAGAAAUGGUUCAUCAUAAGUCUUUCACCAGUACUCUAGUAAAAAUUCAUACAUGGAAGAUUCUAGACUAAACCAUAAAUGGAUACACUUUUAUUCAUGCGUCAUACUCCAAUAGAGCAAGAUCAUGCAUGGAAGUCUCCACAUGCUUAGACAGCGGAUUACAUUGAGCGAAGACUAAUGAUCAACAUUUAACCUGAUAAUGCAGAUGUCCAGGUGAACCUCCUUGGAGUCCCCGUGCACAUUGUUGGGGGUCAAAUAAUACCAUGCGUCUUCCAUGUCCACAUCGGCGGGAAGGUCCCAGCUCGGGAAAGUCCAAGUCAGCUUGACGUAGCCAGUGUCGCCGCCCACGUACCUCCGAGGGGUAGUAAUAGUGAGCACGCACCCGUACAUCGGCCUCGUCUCAGUGUCAGCGUCAGCGCCCCUGACGCACACUACAGAGACGGGGUGGCGGCCUAUGCGGGCCUCGCCGGUGCCCACGAUCAAGAGGAAGACGCCGCCGUCCUCCUCCGAGACUAGCAGGCGGCGGUGAUCCUCCAGCGACUCCGGCACGAUGAACGGGUAGCACGUCUCACACUUGAUGUUCUUCGCCAAGGGCCAGCAGUGACUGCUGCACGCAUCUGUGAGGUGAUGCACCAUGUUCGCCGGCGAGCCACAAAACGGCAUCGGGAACUCAUAGCAGUGGACGAAGGGCUCCUUGGAGGCAUCGACCAGGCCGUCCAUGAAACGGGAGUGGCUGUAGGGGACGUUGCGCCAGUUGAAUAUAUGAGCAAGUUACUACGAGAUUUAAUCCGAAUAAGCACAAAAUAUAUCAUGACGGCUAUAACAAAGAUUAAACUAAUCAUGCGGACUAGCAUAGUAGAUGAACAGAUCGAAUCUAGGACACAGACUAGAAACAUGAAUUCUACCACGAUUUCGAACAGGAAGGACAGAAACACAUAUGGUGCAACGGGAGCAGCACCAUUGGUGUUGAGGUUGUCGCCCAUGUCGUUGAGGAAGAGGUUGCCGAGGUCGGGGAAGAAGUCGUCGUCGGUGAAGUCGUCGCUGCUAGCAGUCGCGAGAGUGCGCUCCCCAAAUUUCAACAGCGCCCGCCGAAUGGAGCGCAGGAGGGAGUGGCUGUAGGGGACGUUGCGGCCGCCAAAUGGAGCGCAGGAGUAGCCCACGAAGCAGUAGAUGGUGCUCCUCCCUAGUCUCUAUUCUUAUCUCUAUCUCUACAACUCUUCUUUGUUUUUUAUAAUAUAUUAGUUGUAGUUGUCAAAUCGAAUAGUACUGCGCUGUCCACUGCACGCCCGGCUGAACACGCCUCCUCGCCUCCAUCAAACCCCUCCGUUAAACCCGCAUGCAAACCGAGAAACCUACUCUGGCCCGCGGGAGGAAAUUUGUCGGUUGCAGUUGGAGAAUAAUAGAGUCACGUCCAAUCCAUUUGAGUUAAUUGCGUGUAUGAUUCUCCCUCUGUAAAAAGUUAAUUGCAUCCUUAAUCUUGUAUUCUAAGUACUCUGUGGGUUCCACUGUCAGUACAGUGUACAUGACUUGCAGGCUAGCUACAGAUUCGUACAGAAAGUUAAAAAGAAACAAAUCCAUCCUUCAUCCUGUAUUCUAGGUACUCUGUGGGUUCCACUACCAGUACAGUAGCAAAAGAAGUAGUAUAUAUUAAAAAAAUAUAAAAAGCUAAAGUUUAGGACAGAAUUCAAACUCAGGUCAUCGGGCUGCGAGCAUCCGGCCCGGACCAGUACACUAGGUGUUGGUUGCAGAGAAUGCAAGAGAUAAACCUUUAUAACUAUGAGCCCGUCCGUUGCAACAGAUCCAAAGUAGAAUAAUACAUAUUCACAAAUUUGAAAGAAAACAGUUUACUUUUGAUAUACAAAUCACUAAAAAAUCUUAUGUUUCACUCCAAAUAUAUUCUUUGGGCUGUUUUGAUGAAGUAAGGGAGGAAUGUGGUUGGUUUCAAGAUACUAAGGGGUUUUGUGUAAACUGGAGCAGAGAAGUGGGUAUUGUUGCAAAAGUCCACAACUUACAUCACAGCCGUUAGAUGCAGAUCUAAUGGUCAGAAAUGGCGGAUGGCAGACGCACCAUCAUCACCAACUGAGUCUUUUAUAGGAGUAGGAGUAGAGAAAAAACCGAGUUGCUGAUGAUGGUGCGCCUGCCAUCUUAUAAUAUAGAUUAUCCGAUCUAUAUCUGACGGAUAGAAAGCAAACUAUGACAAAUUUACAAAAGAUACCCGCUCCUCUCUCCACAUUUACAGAUAAGGCCUUGCCUCGUUCAUCCUUAUCUCCCACAACCUCACUGCUGAGCAAUUACAAAAGGAAGUCUCUGGAACAAUCUGGCAUGGUGGCCGCUGCCGGCGCCGUCCAUCCCCAUGCCUCCGCCCAGUCCGACCACCAGUCACCACCACGCCCCACUCCUCCUCACCUCUAUCAUCUUUCUCGACAUAUCAUUUUUUCGAUGAAAGGGUUGACAUACUAUUUUCCGAUAAAAUCUCAAGAUAUCAUUAGUUUUUACACAUGGGAUUACUCCUGCCCAUGAUCAAGAGGAAGACGCUGCCCUCCUCCUCCGAGGCUAGCAGGCGGCGGUGAUCCUCCAGCGACUCCAGCAUGGUGAACGGGUAGCACAUCUCGUACUUGAUGUUCUCCGCCAAGGGCCAGCAGUGACCGCUGCACGCAUCCGUGAGGUGAUGCACCAUGUCCGCCGGCGAGCCACAAAACGGCAUCGGGCACUCAUAGCAGUGGACGAAGGGCUCCUUGGAGGCAUCAACCAGGCCGUCCAUGAAACGGGAGUGGCUGUAGGGGACGUUGCGCCAGUUGAAUAUAUGAGCAAGUUACUACGAGAUUUAAUCUGAAUAAGCACAAAAUAAAUCAUGACGUCUAUAACAGAGAUGAAACUAAUCAUGUGGACUAGCAUAGUAGUAGGAUACAGAGUAGAAACAUGAAUUCUACCACGAUUUCGAAUAGGAAGGACAGAAACACAUACAGUGCAACGGGAGCAGCACCAUUGGCGUUGAGGUUGUCGCCCAUGUCCAAACACCACGUAGACACGGUCUUUGAGCACGGUUCGUAGUCGUGCCACGCUCGGGCAUUGAAGUUUGUAACUAUUUUAGAUUAGAAUAUACUACUCCUCCGGUGCUAGUAGUAGAGCAGAGUCCUACUCUACUACUCUACUCAAGCAAGUUAGGGCAUAGCACUGUAGGGAGUACCAGUACCGUGAUCACUCAAGCAAGUUGUCUGGCAUCGACAUGACCCUACGCUGCUGGUAUGUGUCUCGUAAGUCAAGCGGCGUGCUGCAGUCAUCAUCACAUGUCCACUUCCCGCAGCACAUAUUCGCUUCUCCAUCUUUGUCCGCACAUAAUCUCGUCCAAUCUUCCAUCCCCGCUAAGGCGCCUCCCCGCUCGUCCGAAACCCAAGCACUAACAAUGGCAGAACCGAGCAGCGUCCGCCGAAAGAGUGGCUAGAAUUCGCUCCCCACAGAGGUAAUCAAGCUCAUUGUUUCGCGUGUGGACAAUCUCAGUACCAUGCCGCUCGCCGCGUGCUCGUCGGGGCUGUACCACUUACUCAAAGCCCUCAGGCCGGAGCUUUUUAAGCCAGCUCCUUGCUUGCUGAUGCCGCCUGAUCUUCAGAAACGGCGUGUCACGCAGCAUUACGAUCGUAGGGUGGCGAGCAUCAACCCCCUUGACUGCGAUCCGAUCCCCGUCAGCCUCAACUACAUUAAUGGUAUGUACUAGGUCGGCAUGAACACGUCUUGGAUGGUGCUCGUUGACGGUCGCGGCAGCUGGAUGCUCGUGGUGGUCUACACCCGGCGAUUGACCCCCCUUCCUUCGAUUAACACUGCACUGCUUUGGCACCGCGGCCCAGAAUACUCGGAAUCUUACAGUAGCCAACAUGAUACCAAGUUUGAUUUGCUAAAGGUUGUAAUCUUCCAAGUGCCCACAAGAUCUGCGAAUUAUAAAGACUUCAGGCUUAUUGCGUUCUUCAACCGCGGUCUUGCCUAUCUGACAAGUCACUGCGGUAAGUGGAUAAAUCUGCACGUCCAUCGCAUGAUGAUACAUCCUCCAUGGUUCUCUGAUGCCAUUGAACACAAGGGCUUCAUUUACGCUGUCGACUCCUUCUAUGGUUGGACGUAUUGCUGGCCUACUCCAGUCAUCGCUACAAACGGCUGUUACAACAGUAUGUUACUUUCCUAUGAUAUCAUGAUGGCUUGCUUAUAUUACUGUCAACAUUUGCUAAAAAAAUAUUCAUGCUCAUAACAUGCUAUUCUUAAGAUUGACUAAAUCAAGAGCCCUUUUUUAUUUGACUCCAACUUGAUAUGAUGUUGUAGGCCGCCUGGUGUCCCUACCCUUCCUAAUCCCAGAACCUUUCAAAGAAAAGCGGCAUGGCAGUUGCAGUUGGUUCCUGGCUCGAUCAGACGACGGCGAAAGAUUGAUGAUCAUUCGCACGUACCGGACGUGUUGUUUCACGGAAUACAAUCACAGUCACUGCAAGGUCUUUGAGCAUGAUCCCAGCUUCUCUGGGCCUUCAGGAAUUUUUGACUGGAGGCUGGUAAGUAGCCUUGGUACACGCUCUCUGUUUGUGGGACUGAAUUAUCCGAUUAACCAGGAGAUAACCGUCGGCAAGGAUCAUGAUGGCAGCGCGGUUUCGUUCAUCAGGCAAAACUGUGUGUACACAGCGUACCAUGCGUCUCUGCAUGCACCAUACCCUGAUAUGUGUCGCCACGCUCUGCAGCCCAAAGUAGGAGAGAGGGUCGCAAGUAUCAGACUUCAACCUGCUGGCUGGAGUUUCCCCCGUCAGGCACACAUCUGGUUCAAGCCAUCAGCCAAUCUCCACAACUUAAUAAAUAGUAAUGUCUAACUUAGCCAGUUAGUUAGAUGCGUACACUUGGUGUAGUAGGAUCUUUAUUUAGUUUGAUGCAUACACUUGUUCUUUUUUGGUAGCCCUUUUGUAAUGAUGGCUGAUGUUUGGUUUGGAAGAGAGAGCUGCGUCUUCACUCUUCUGGCCUGCUUACUGCUUCUGUUGCACCCCCAGCCCUGGUUGUUGCUGCUGCUGUUUUCAAUGUACAAUCAGUAGUAUAUUUCGUCUAUUGGUUGAAUAAAUGUGUUGUUAGAACGACAAACACAAUGUUUUGGAAGUCGUUGCACGGCUCGAUCCUUUAGUGCCCCGUACCGUACGUAGCGCAUACUAUUUUUCGUAUGGAACACAUUUUCCACUUGCUGAUAACAUGCAACCCACUGAUGAAGGCCCAAUAGAGAAGCCCAUAAUUAACUGGAAGGGAGGCUCUCACAUGAAUCCGGCCCAGGUACAUGCUCAUGGCCCCCUAAACAUAAAUACGUAAAUAAAUAAAGCUAAAUGCUCCUGCACCAGUUCUUUGGGAAAAUAGAUAGCCCAGUAUUUCUUUUUGAAGAAUACCCAAGCUAGGCCUAUUUGUUUUCUCCGAAUUACUGAGCUACAAAUCUUUCAAGGCGAGGAGGGAUGCAUUCAGGCCUGGCUUAAGAGUAUGGUCAAUGUCUGUUAAAAGUAAUAUCAAAAGGGGUUGAAAAUUCCAAAAAAAUAUAUAGCAAAUGGGAUAUAAGUUUCUUUUUUUGUUUUUGUUCUUCACUGAUAUCUUAUACGUAUUUCAUUGGAUUUAACAUAACAUAGUACUAAUUUAUUUUUAAAUUUGUUUUAGUAUGGCUAUUAAUUUUUGGAUUAAGAAUAUUUCGUUCCCCAGCAAAAAAUUGCGAAUUUUCAAAAUUUCCCACAUAUUUAGUUAAUUUCUUGACCCUGGUACUGACCAGAAAAUGGCCAGCAAUUCUAAAAAUGGAAAACAGGCUGCAAUAAAUUCCAUAUGAAUUAGAAAAUGAGUAAAAAUUAUAAAAAUAAUAGCAAUGGGUUGUACACGCCAAAGAUUUCUAGGCUGACUUGUUUACGCAAGGCUUUGUCAGUGAACACACGAUUCUAGCAGCAGUGACUGUUGGAUGCCCAUCCAACGGCCGAUGUGCUUCUUCAAUCGCUGAUCUUCCUGCUCCAGCCGCCUAAACUAGCGCCGGCGGGACUGCCUGCUCCCUCCUCUUGUGGCCUGCUGUGAUGCCGCGCAUGCUUCCCUGGCCCACCCUACUCCCUCCGCUGGCCUGGCCGCACGCAAUCAACUGCCUCGUUAUUACGCGAAAAAAUGAUUCCUCCCACUGACAUCUGGGGCUCACCGGUUGGGAGGCUGACCUGUGGGCCUACUAAGUUGAUGCGUACGCAGGGCUUGUCAACUUUGUCAACAAACGAUUCUAGCAGCAAUAACCGUUGGAUUUGAAUCGAACGGUCCUGCUGCUUCUUCAAUCGCUGCUCUUCUUGCACCAGCCGCCCAAACCAGCGCCGGGAGACCGCCUGCUCCUGCCUCCAGUGGCCGGCUGUGCUGCCGUUGAGGCCUCAUCGCCCCCUACUAGUCCCACUGCUAGCCAGGCCCUGCGGCGACGGCAGCCUCACACCGCAGCUGAACCAGUGAACCCUCGUACUCCUCUCCGCGUGGGCAUCCACUGCUGCGUCUUCCCCGGCUCCGCGUUGUCCCCUUCCUAGGCCUCGCCAUCGUCCACCGCCUUGGUGCUCUCGGCGCGGCGUGGUCAACGUGGUCAACGACAUUCCAUCGGAAUAGUACUGUACGUGGAGAGGCUGACAGCUGGGUCCACGGCCACAACCCAGUUUUUUUGUGAUUUGCCAAGUAAGUCGCUUUGUCAGGCCUGUUGGGCUGCAAAUCUUUCAAGACGAGGAGAGCUUUCAUUCGGCUAGCCGAGAAAAUGGCCCAUCAGUAAUGAGAAAUGGGCUGUACAUUUUUAAAACACAUCAAAUCGGCAAUUAGUUUCAAAUAUCUUUUUUUUUCAUUUUGAGGUUUUAAAUUACAUUAAUUUUUAUGCGUGGAGAAUUUGUUGGAUUUUAUAUUAAUAUACAUUUAUUUUUAAAAUCAGUUUGAAUGUGAGUCGAAAUUUCGGGAUUAAAAACAGUUCGGACCGCACCGAAAUAUGCAAAAUUUCGUAUAAUUUUUUAACCGUGGCCACAAUAUGGGCUGUAAUGCUAACAAAAAGAAUAUGGGCUCCAAAAAAACCUUAAUAAUUAGCAAAUGGGUUGUAAAUUAUUAGAAAUAAUGGCAGAUGGGAUGUAUGUUGUUUUCCACAGAUUUGCGGCUUUCCUAAAAAAAAGGUUGACGCACAAGUACAGAUUGUUGGAUGUCCAUCCAACAGCCGUCGUGCUUCUUCAAUCUCUGCUCUUCCUACUCCAGCCGCUCAAACAAGCGCCGGCGGGACUGCCUGCUACCUCCUCCCCGCGGCCGGCUCUGCUGCCGCGCAGGCCUCACCGCCCCACCGUACUCCCAUCGCUGGCCUAGCCAUCCCUCUACUCACCCACACCUGCUUUUAUUCUCCGGCGACGGCAGACGAACCAGUAAACCCUUGUACAGUCGUACUCCCCUCCACGUGGGAAACAACUGCCGAGUCUUCCCUACCUCCGUGUCGUUCCCUUCCUAGGCCUCGCCGUCGUCCACCGCCCUGGUGCUCUCGCCGCGGCUUGGUCAACGUGGUCAACGACCGACAUGCAUGUGAAGUGGACUGUACGUGGAGAGGCCGACAGCUGGGUCCACGGCUGCACGCAAGGAAAUGCCUCCUUAUUAUGCGCAAAAUAAUGAUUCCUCCACCUGACAUCAGGGACCCAUCGAAAGGGCCUCUGUAUUUCGCGAAAAAAAAACGUUACCGCCGCUGACAGCUCGGACCCACCAGCUAUAUCUUCGCACGCAAGGAAGUGCCUCCUUAUUACGCACAAAAAAAUGAAUACUCCCCCUGUUAGCUGGGACCCAGUAUAGUGGCAGGCUGACUUGUGGGCCUACUAAAUUGACGGGGACGGAGGGCUUUGUCAACCUAGUCAAUAUGCACGAUUCUAGCUCUAGUGACCGUACGAUGUCCAUCCAACGACCGUAGUGCUUCUUCAACCUCUGGUCUUCUUGCUCCAGCCGCCCAAACCAGUGCCGGUCGUGCCUCGUGCUCCUGCCUCCCGUGGCCGGCUGCGAUGCGGCGGAGGCCUCACCGCCCCCUACUACUCCCACCGCUGGCCAGGCCAUCCCUCUACUCACACUAACCCCCUGUUAUUCUCCGGCGACGGCAGCCUCACACCGCAGCGAACCAGUGAACCCUCGUACUCCUCUAUGCGUGGGCAUCCACUGUCGCGUCUUCCCUGGCUCCGCGUCAUCCCCUUCCUAGGCCUCGCCGUCGUCCACCGCCCUGGUGCUCUCGGCGCGGCGUGGUCAACGUGGUCAAGGAACGGCUUCCAUCGGACGUGGACUAUACGUGGAGAGGCUGACAGCUGGGUCCACAACCGCAGCAAGGAAGUGCCUCCUUAUUACGUGCAAAAUAAUUAUUCCUCCACCUGACAGCGGGGACCCACCGGACGGGCCACCGUAUUUUGCAAAAAAACAUUUGCCCCUGACUGCUGGGACCCACCAGCUACAUCUUCGCACGCAAGCAAGUGCGUCCGGAAUAAAAAAACGAUUCGCCCCCUGACUGCUGGGACCCACCAGCUACAUCUUCGCAGGCAAGGAAGUGCCUGACAGUCAGGACCCACCUGGUCAAAGCGUACAUAGCGUUGUCAUUCUGGCCGCGAACAUGUACGUACAUAUAUACUGGUGGAUGGAGAGGCGCGCACGUGUCAUAGUAGAGGCGCGUACGUGUCGUAGUAGAGGCGCGCACGUAGCAUGUACACGUACGCACAUCGGCCAGGGUGCAAGAAAGAAAAUACGGCCACGUAUGUGUACAUACGGGCGGGGUCUUGAACGCCUACUCGCGCAUACGUACGGCCAGGGCUCGUGUACAUGACUGGGUCGGAACGGAGAAACAGCGUCGUCGUCGUGUUGAUGGGGAGGCACCGGAAUGCGUCGUGUUCAUGGGGAGGCAACGGAAUGCGUCGUGUUCAUCGGGAGGCAACGGAACGCGUGGGAGCCAACCGGCUGGGUCGGAACGGAAUGCGUGGUCGUGUUCAUCAGCAGGGCUUGGACGUAACAGGCGAUGGAAACGAGGCCUGGCGUACCGCACAACGGAGGAAACGGACCUCCUACGUUCGGAACGGGGUCCUGUUGAUCGGGAGGGGUGUGGCGUACCGCAAAACGGAGGAAACGGACCUCCUACGGUCGAAACGGGGGUCCUGUUGAUCGGGAGGGGUGUGGCGUACCGCAAAACGGACGAAACGUACCUCCUACGAUCGAAACGGGGGUCAUGUUCAUCGGGAGGGGUGUGGCGUACCGCAAAACGGGACUCCACGGGAUAUUGUUCAUCUCCACCGUCGACCUCCUCCAGGCUCCACGGGCUACCGUCGACCUCCUCCAGCCUCCACGGGCUCCUGUUCAUCCAGCCUCCACCGCGUGCUACUCCACCGGCUACUGUUCAACCACCCCUCCACGGGCACCCCAGAAGUAGCGAAGGAAUCGCUCGAUCGGGUUCAGUUAACCGCCAUCGAUCGAUCGCUCGGGUUCAGUAACGUGUAGCCUGCAGUGCAAUCGCUCGGGUUUAGUUAGAGCCCAACGCCUCGCUCGGGUUCAGUUAGAGCCAACGCCUCGCACACACGCGCGUACAUGUAUGAGAGAAACGCGCAUCGCUCGGCCCCCGACCUCCCACCGUAACCGGGAACUCCCCAAAAUUUUCCUCGCCCUCGCUUCUACCACGGUUUUUUCCGUCAUGGACGGCCCAAAGAAUGUCAUGCAGCUGCGUCUCCGGCCCGCCUAGGACGAAAAGCCCAUUUUCUGUCAUGAUUUUUUGUCAUAGAAGUAGGAGCCCACCACAUCUAUGAUGAUACCGGGUUUUGUCAAAAUUGUCGUCAUAGAAGUGUCAUAUGUAUGACAGAAAAAAAAUUCGUUCGACCCAAAAUGUCACGGAUGUGUCAUUUUUUACUAGUGAACAUUAUAAAUAUUAGUAGGAAAAAAUGAUGCAAAAUGGACGUAUCAACGACCACAAGACACCAGGGCGCGCCAGGCCCCCCAGGUGCGCCCUGGUGCGUUGUGGCCAGCCCAGCCCACCUCCGGUGCCCAUCUUCUGGUAUAUAAGUCAUUUUGACCUAGAAAAAGAAUGAGGAGAGGACUUUCGGGAUGGAGCGCCGCCGUGUCGAGGCGGAAGUUGGGCAGGAGCACUUUUGC
rnacentral:lncRNA from 1 species